CCUACGGGGGGCCGCAGUGGGGAAUAUUGGACAAUGGGCGAAAGCCUGAUCCAGCCAUGCCGCGUGUGUGAAGAAGGCCUUCGGGUUGUAAAGCACUUUCAGUGGGGAAGAAAGCCUUGGGGCUAAUACCCUCGAGGAAGGACAUCACCCACAGAAGAAGCACCGGCUAACUCCGUGCCAGCAGCCGCGGUAAUACGGAGGGUGCGAGCGUUAAUCGGAAUUACUGGGCGUAAAGCGCGCGUAGGCGGUCUGAUAAGCCGGUUGUGAAAGCCCCGGGCUCAACCUGGGAACGGCAUCCGGAACUGUCAGGCUAGAGUGCAGGAGAGGAAGGUAGAAUUCCCGGUGUAGCGGUGAAAUGCGUAGAGAUCGGGAGGAAUACCAGUGGCGAAGGCGGCCUUCUGGACUGACACUGACGCUGAGGUGCGAAAGCGUGGGUAGCAAACAGGAUUAGAUACCCUGGUAGUC
rnacentral:rRNA from 1 species